rnacentral:lncRNA from 1 species
AGUCUGUUCUUUGUGUUGACCUCACUACACCCACACAACUAUUUUAUAGGACCUUUAAGCACUGGAUACACUUUACUAUCAAUACCUAGUUCUACAUUUUGGCUAUAAAGUUUUGGAAUGCCAGUCCAACUGUCAGAAUGCUGUUGAGAAUAUCCUUUUUUUUUGCAUGCUAGACGGUGAUGGCCUCCACAAGGCAGUGGACGUGGUGUGUGAUGAUUACGGUAUUUGCAGGGCCCCCUUCUCAGGUAUCCUGGGGGGUCCAGUGGUCGGUAUCCUGUGUGAUGGCAUUAAACUCUAACUCUGCUCAGCAUUCAACGACACUAUCCCCUCCAAGCUCGUCACCAAGCUUAGGACUCUGGGUCUGAACACCUCCCUCUGCAACUGGAUCCUGGAAUUUCUGACAGGCCUUCCCCAAGUGGUGAGGGUAGGCAACAUCACCUCCACCACACUGACCCUUAACACAGGGGCCCCACAGGGGUGUGUGCUUAGUCCCCUCCUGUACUCCCUGUUCACCCAUACUGUGUGGCCACCCACGACUCCAACAUCACUAUCAAGUUCGCUGACAACAUGACGGUGGUAGGCCUGAUCACUGGCGACAAUGAGUCAGCCUACAGGGAGGAGGUCAGUGACCUGACAGUGUG